rnacentral:rRNA from 1 species
UACGUAGGGUCCAAGCGUUGUCCGGAUUUAUUGGGCGUAAAGAGCUCGUAGGCGGCUCAGUAAGUCAGGUGUGAAAACUCCAGGCUCAACCUGGAGACGCCACUUGAUACUGCUGUGGCUAGAGUCCGGUAGGGGAGCAUGGAAUUCCUGGUGUAGCGGUGAAAUGCGCAGAUAUCAGGAGGAACACCAGUGGCGAAGGCGGUGCUCUGGGCCGGAACUGACGCUGAGGAGCGAAAGCGUGGGGAGCAAACAGG